rnacentral:rRNA from 1 species
AUGGCUUCAAUUUGUUGGGCUCUACUACUCUUUCUUGCAAUGUUUUCGGCACUAGCCACCUCCGACACCCAUAGCGACGAUAACCUCACUCUCCGAUGCCAUCCAGACCAGGCUGCAAGCCUCCUCCUGCUAAAGCGAUCCUUCUCUUUCUUCCGUUACCCCAGUGGCCUUGAGUCAUGGCAGGAUGACACCGACUGUUGUCUUUGGGAAGGUGUUGGCUGCCGCAACUCCUCGGGGUAUGUCACCGCUCUGGAGCUAAGUAAUCGUGGCUUGUACAGUCAAGGCCUUGACCCCGCAAUCUUCAACCUCACCUCGCUCCAACUACUCGACCUUAGCAUGAACAAUUUUGGCCAGUGCAAUCUCCCGGCGACCGGGUUUGAGAGGCUCUCCUUGCUCACACACCUCAACCUCUCCAAUUCGGGCUUCCAAGGCCAGAUACCUAUUGGCAUCGGCAAACUUGCCAACCUUAUCUCCUUGGAUCUUUCUGUUCUCUAUUAUAUGGCUUCUGAUGAUUCUCUUAAUGGCUAUGGCACCAGCAUUCCUGGCGUUACUAGUUGGCUAUGGCUGCAGGAACCCAACUUUCAGAUCCUAGUUGGCAACCUCAACAAUCUGAGAGAGCUCUACCUUGAUGGAGUGGAUAUGUCUACCAGUGCAGAUGAUUGGUGUGAUGCAUUUGCUGAUUCUCUUCCGAAUCUCCGAGUUCUCAGCUUGAGAUAUUGUAAUCUUGUUGGUCCUAUUUGCCCCUCCCUGUCGACCCUGCACUCCCUAGCUGUGAUCAGUCUCCAAGAUAACUUUGAUACGUCUGUCACCUCCUCGGGAGAUGCUCAUGGAUUCUCACAAUUUAAGUUUUCUUCAGCUUGCUUGGAAAAAUAUCCAACGCUUGUGCCCUAG